AAUCCGAUCGGCGCGCCGAUGCCAACACCGAGCACCGUCAUGAUGAUCGAGCCGACGAUGGCGUUCAGCAAUCCGCCGUCGGUGGAUCCGGGCGGCGGCGUGCUCUCGGUGAAGACACCGAGAUGCAGACCUGCAAAGCCGUUGUAGAACAGUGUGAACAGGAUCAGCGCGAGCCAGGUCACGCCGAAAACAGCUGCGCCAAGGCACAGGAACCGGAUAACGAUGUCCCAGCGGCGGCGANNNNNNNNNNNGUUCCCCGCCUUCUUUUCAAGACGCAUCAGCAUCAGCCGCGCCGCGGCCAGCACGAAGAAC
rnacentral:misc_RNA from 1 species